UACAGAGGGUGCAAGCGUUGUUCGGAAUUACUGGGCGUAAAGCGUGUGUAGGCGGCUACGUAAGUCGGAUGUGAAAGCCCCAGGCUCAACCUGGGAAGUGCACUCGAUACUGCGUAGCUUGAGUAUCGGAGAGGUUGGUGGAAUUCUCGGUGUAGAGGUGAAAUUCGUAGAUAUCGAGAGGAACACCGGUGGCGAAGGCGGCCAACUGGACGAAUACUGACGCUGAGACACGAAAGCGUGGGGAGCAAACAGG
rnacentral:rRNA from 1 species